UAAUCUGUACGGAACAAGGAAACUCUACUUCUUAUGUCCUCGCUCGACUGUGACGAGAAGAAUCGGAAAAAUGACUCCGGUUAACCGGAGGGACUUUAUGGAAGAGCUGGUGAGAUUCACGCUGGAAUCUUAUAUAGACGAAACCUUAGAAAUCGAUUUAGGGCUCUCCAAGGCCUUCUGCUCCAACCUCCUCAAAGACGAUCCCGCCGACCCCUACUUAGCCACUGCCGAUUCUUUUGAAGGAGUCCCUCCAUACCCCUUAUACAAGCGUCUGGCAUCAUCUUUAUUAGAAUCAAUAGAUUCCAAAGCCUUCUGUAAGCCACGCUGCAAUUUGACAUUGAUCCCUGAGGGAAGUUCCUUGAAGCAGAAAGAAAAUGAAUGGCAGAAGCUGAUUAUGGACAAGGGAUCCAAGAUAGUGAAUAUUAUGGAGACUUCUGUCCACGAACUUCAUGUUCAGGAGCCUUUCUUUUCGCAGCUAAAAGAUGGCCAGAAAACAAUUGAAGGAAGAUGUGCUGUUGGCGACUACAAUAGAAUUGGUUCAGGAUCUUUGAUCCUUUUCAACAGAUGUGUGGUGUUUGAAGUACAGGAUGUCCGCCGGUAUGCUUCAUUCUCAGAUAUGUUGGGAGCUGAGACUCUUGCAAAGGUUCUUCCUGGAGUUGAAACUAUUGAAGAAGGUGUACAAAUCUACAGGAAGUUUUACACAGAAGAAAAGGAAAGGUUAAGUGGUGUCCUUGCAAUCUUUGUUUCAAAAGUGGAUCUUCAGCCCUACAUUUGUUUGGCAACCCUACUCUCUGAAUUGAGUUAUGGGGGCGUUCAAGGCCUUCUUGGUCUGACACAUACCACAGGGACAAUUCCAGAUGCACUUCCCCCACCAAAAUCAAUUCUUUUAUCAUCAUUUAUGUUGCCAUGUAAGCUAAAUGUCGUAACCUUGACUCAUGGAGCUAGGGCGUUGGCAAAGCAUGCUAAUAGGAGUAGCAGUAAAUAUUGGGGUACUUUGAAAGGAAGUGAUUCUGAUAAAAAUAAGCUUGCAAUGGAUGUCGUCUGUCACUUAAUAGCACAUUGUGACUGGUUGAAUGUACAUGUUGUCCCACCACAUGGUGUUGUCUUUGAAAUAAGGGUUGCUGAUGGAUAUGGUGCACGCUGGUCUAAAGAUGGAAGCAAGUUUAUUGGAUUUCUGGAGCCAUACAUGGAAGACGGCCACUCAAAGGGAUGGAGGAACUAAUUUUGUUUUGGAAGUGUAUUCUUUAGCUUACUUGGUUUGGAUAGAUCUUUGUUACAGGGACUUGGGUGUGACCACAUGAUGAUGGUGGUGGUGGAUGGUGUCAACAAGUGGAUUUUCCCGGCUUCUGUGGCUUGCAUUGGAACAACAUAUGCGUGAGCCAUCAAAAUCAGUAUAUGCUAGAAUGAAUAUUUAGGAUGUGUUUUUUUUUUUUUUUUUUUUAAUUUAUAAUUAUCAUUUUGUAUCCAAAUGAUUUUUCUUCAUUUAUUUAUUUAAGAUUCUUGGAUGCAUAUAGGAUACAUUAGCUACAGACACCGGUGUGUUUUCUCUCCACUUGUAUUUUCAUAGACAGAAUCACUUCGACAACCUCAUGAUUUGGCAUAAUUUCAAUUUGAGAAUC